UGGUGGUGGAGAGCAACUUGAACGCAUCUAUGAGCGUUUGGAAGCUUUGGACGCAUCAACUGCUGAGAAGCGUGCAGCUGAAAUACUGUUCGGUCUUGGAUUUAACAAGAAAAUGCAAGAACAAAAAACACGAGAUUUUUCCGGUGGAUGGAGGAUGAGGAUUGCUCUUGCUCGUGCCCUGUUUAUGAAUCCGACCAUUUUGCUGCUUGAUGAACCCACCAAUCAUCUAGACCUAGAGGCUUGCGUGUGGUUAGAAGAAACCUUGAAGAAGUUUGACCGUAUUCUGGUUGUUGUUUCACACUCGCAAGACUUCCUAAAUGGUGUGUGUACUAACAUCAUCCAUAUGCAAAAUAAGACGUUGAAGCUCUACACUGGUAAUUAUGAUCAAUAUGUCCAAACCCGUGAGGAGUUGGAAGAAAAUCAGAUGAAACAGUACAGAUGGGAGCGGGAGCAGAUUGCUUCAAUGAAGG
rnacentral:misc_RNA from 1 species